rnacentral:rRNA from 1 species
GAUGAACGCUGGCGGCGUGCCUAAUACAUGCAAGUCGAGCGAACAGACGAGGAGCUUGCUCCUCUGACGUUAGCGGCGGACGGGUGAGUAACACGUGGAUAACCUACCUAUAAGACUGGGAUAACUUCGGGAAACCGGAGCUAAUACCGGAUAAUAUAUUGAACCGCAUGGUUCAAUAGUGAAAGACGGUUUUGCUGUCACUUAUAGAUGGAUCCGCGCCGCAUUAGCUAGUUGGUAAGGUAACGGCUUACCAAGGCAACGAUGCGUAGCCGACCUGAGAGGUUGAUCGGCCACACUGGAACUGAGACACGGUCCAGACUCCUACGGGAGGCAGCAGUAGGGAAUCUUCCGCAAUGGGCGAAAGCCUGACGGAGCAACGCCGCGUGAGUGAUGAAGGUCUUCGAAUCGUAAAACUCUGUUAUUAGGGAAGAACAAAUGUGUAAGUAACUAUGCACGUCUUGACGGUACCUAAUCAGAAAGCCACGGCUAACUACGUG